rnacentral:rRNA from 1 species
UACGAAGGGGGCUAGCGUUGCUCGGAAUCACUGGGCGUAAAGCGCACGUAGGCGGCUUUCUAAGUCAGGGGUGAAAUCCUGGAGCUCAACUCCAGAACUGCCUUUGAUACUGGAGAGCUUGAGUCCGGGAGAGGUGAGUGGAACUCCGAGUGUAGAGGUGAAAUUCGUAGAUAUUCGGAAGAACACCAGUGGCGAAGGCGGUUCUCUGGGCCUGUACUGACGCUGAGGAGCGAAAGCGUGGGGAGCGAACAGG